UACGGGGGGGGCAAGCGUUGUUCGGAAUUACUGGGCGUAAAGGGCUCGUAGGCGGCCAACUAAGUCGGAUGUGAAAUCCCCAGGCUUAACCUGGGAACUGCAUCCGAUACUGGAUGGCUUGGAUUUGGGAGAGGGAUGCGGAAUUCCAGGUGUAGCGGUGAAAUGCGUAGAUAUCUGGAGGAACACCGGUGGCGAAGGCGGCAUCCUGGACCAAUAUUGACGCUGAGGAGCGAAAGCCAGGGGAGCAAACGGG
rnacentral:rRNA from 1 species